CAUGGCCAAGCAACAAACACACGCACAAGGGAUGUGAUAGGAGAAGGGCAUCCCCCCAAGAGUCCCCAGGCAUGGUGCUACCGGAACCUGCUGCCUUGGCAUGGAAAGGUGUCAGGAAGUGACAGGCAGAGCCCACCAUGGGCAUCUUAGUAUCAGCUUCUCAGAUGUGCCCCCAGGACCCCUGAGGUAUCACAGCUGGCCAAAUGCCAUGGUCCAGUCUGGACAGCAUCACCACAGCAUGAAGUCAGAGCCCUUUCCUUUCCACUCUGGCUGCAACAACAAAGGAACUCACCUAAAAGCAGCUGAGCAAACACACGCAGCAUCUGUGAGCAUCUCGACCCACUGCUCAGCCAGCGCGCAGUGAGACGCCUGGAACACGAGAUCACAAAUGGCUCCGUGAAAAGUCAGUCAUCCCUGAGCGAAAGCCAACCAGAUGGAUGAAGGAGGAAGAGAAGCCUCCACGUCUGGGCCCUGGGAAGAGGGGAGAAGUUGUCAAAACCAGUGCUUAGAGAGUUGUGCAAGCAAGGAUAGCACAAGCUUGUGCUGCUGUAACAAACAACCCCCAAAGCUCGCUAGCUUAACAGUGUUACUUUCUUGCUUUCACAAAACACAGUGAGCUUCUGGGAGACUCUUAGGACAGCUGUCUACAUUCCAUGGAACUCAGCGGUCCAGGCUGUACCGAUCUUAUGGCUCCUACAUUUUAACAGAGGCCUUGAUGAGCAAAGGAAGUGAGCCAUGGGUAGCCAUACAAAGGGGCUUCGAUGCUUUCGCCUGGCAGCAGCCCUUUGACCAGAAUAAGGCAUACACUCUGUAUUCACAAGGGAGCUGGGACAUUUGGGAGA
ensembl:lncRNA